UGUACCACCACAUCUGGCUAAUUGUUUAUAGAGAUGGAAUCUCACGUGUUACCCAGGCUGGUCUCGAACUCCUGGACUCAAGUGAUCUUCCUGUCUUGGCCUCCCAAAGUGCUGGGAUUACACACAUGAACCACUGUACCUAGCCUAGUAGUAGUUUAAAAAUACAUAAUCAUGCCGGACGUGGUGGCUCAUGCCUGUAAUCCCAACAUUUUGGGAGGCCG
rnacentral:lncRNA from 10 species